rnacentral:rRNA from 1 species
AUUGAACGCUGGCGGCAUGCCUUACACAUGCAAGUCGAACGGUAGCACGGAGCUUGCUCUGGUGGCGAGUGGCGAACGGGUGAGUAAUAUAUCGGAACGUACCCAAGAGUGGGGGAUAACGUAGCGAAAGUUACGCUAAUACCGCAUACGAUCUAAGGAUGAAAGUGGGGGCUCGCAAGACCUCAUGCUCCUGGAGCGGCCGAUAUCUGAUUAGCUAGUUGGUGAGGUAAAGGCUCACCAAGGCAUCGAUCAGUAGCUGGUCUGAGAGGACGACCAGCCACACUGGAACUGAGACACGGUCCAGACUCCUACGGGAGGCAGCAGUGGGGAAUUUUGGACAAUGGGGCAACCCUGAUCCAGCAAUGCCGCGUGAGUGAAGAAGGCCUUCGGGUUGUAAAGCUCUUUUGUCAGGGAAGAAACGGUGAAGGCUAAUAUCCUUUGCUAAUGACGGUACCUGAAGAAUAAGCACCGGCUAACUACGUGCCAGCAGCCGCAGUAA